CACGUAGGGUGCAAGCGUUGUCCGGAAUUAUUGGGCGUAAAGAGCUCGUAGGCGGUUUGUUGCGUCGGCUGUGAAAUCCCGAGGCUCAACCUCGGGUCUGCAGUCGAUACGAGCAAACUAGAGUGUUGCAGGGGAGACUGGAAUUCCUGGUGUAGCGGUGAAAUGCGCAGAUAUCAGGAGGAACACCGGUGGCGAAGGCGGGUCUCUGGGCAACAACUGACGCUGAGGAGCGAAAGCAUGGGGAGCGAACAGG
rnacentral:rRNA from 1 species